AUUGAACGCUGGCGGCAGGCCUAACACAUGCAAGUCGAACGAGUGGCGGACGGGUGAGUAAUGUCUGGGAAACUGCCUGAUGGAGGGGGAUAACUACUGGAAACGUUAGCUAAUACCGCAUACCAUCAGAUGUUCCCAGAUGGGAUUAUCUAGUUGGUGGUGUAGCGUCUCCCCAAGGCGACGAUCCCUAGCUGGUCUGAGAGGAUGACCAGCCACACUGGAACGGAGACACGGUACAGACUCAUACGGGAGGAAGCAGUGGGGAAUAUUGCACAAUGGGCGCAAGCCUGAUGCAGCCAUGCCGCGUGUAUGAAGAAGGCCUUCGGGUUGUAAAGUACUUUCAGCGGGGAGGCGUUACCCGCAGAAGAAGCACCGGCUAACUCCGUGCCAGCAGCCGCGGUAAUUC
rnacentral:rRNA from 1 species